GGGUUUGAUUAUGGCUCAGAUUGAACGCUGGCGGCAUGCCUUACACAUGCAAGUCGAACGGCAGCACGGGAGCAAUCCUGGUGGCGAGUGGCGAACGGGUGAGUAAUAUAUCGGAACGUGCCCAGUAGUGGGGGAUAACUGCUCGAAAGAGCAGCUAAUACCGCAUACGACCUGAGGGUGAAAGGGGGGGAUCGCAAGACCUCUCGCUAUUGGAGCGGCCGAUAUCAGAUUAGCUAGUUGGUGGGGUAAAGGCCUACCAAGGCAACGAUCUGUAGUUGGUCUGAGAGGACGACCAGCCACACUGGGACUGAGACACGGCCCAGACUCCUACGGGAGGCAGCAGUGGGGAAUUUUGGACAAUGGGCGCAAGCCUGAUCCAGCAAUGCCGCGUGCAGGAAGAAGGCCUUCGGGUUGUAAACUGCUUUUGUCAGGGAAGAAAUCCUCUAGGUUAAUACCCUUGGGGGGAUGACGGUACCUGAAGAAUAAGCACCGGCUAACUACGUGCCAGCAGCCGCGGUAAUACGUAGGGUGCAAGCGUUAAUCGGAAUUACUGGGCGUAAAGCGUGCGCAGGCGGCUUUGCAAGACAGAUGUGAAAUCCCCGGGCUCAACCUG
rnacentral:rRNA from 1 species